GACGAACGCUGGCGGCGUGCCUAAUACAUGCAAGUCGAACGAGAGCGCCCGGUGCUUGCCCUGGUCAAUCUAGUGGCGAACGGGUGAGUAACACGUGGGUAACCUGCCCAUCAGAGGGGGAUAACAUUCGGAAACGGAUGCUAAAACCGCAUAGGUCUUCGAACCGCAUGGUUUGAAGAGGAAAAGAGGCGCAAGCUUCUGCUGAUGGAUGGACCCGCGGUGCAUUAGCUAGUUGGUGAGGUAACGGCUCACCAAGGCCGUGAUGCAUAGCCGACCUGAGAGGGUGAUCGGCCACAUUGGGACUGAGACACGGCCCAAACUCCUACGGGAGGCAGCAGUAGGGAAUCUGCCGCAAUGACGCAAGUCUGACGGAGCAACGCCGCGUGAGUGAAGAAGGUUUUCGGAUCGUAAAACUCUGUUGUUAGAGAAGAACAAGUGCUAGAGUAACUGUUAGCGCCUUGACGGUAGCUAACCAGAAAGCCACGGCUAACUACGUG
rnacentral:rRNA from 1 species